GUUAUAAAUGUUGUAAUAAGUGUGCUACAUUUGUUGCACAUCAAAAUUACUUAAAAAAAAAAAAAAAACAAAACCAUCAAAACCAUGAGCAAUUAUCUGGAAUAACUAAUUUCAACAUCUUAUUUCUUAAGUCUGUAUUUUUAGCAACAACACUUAAUGUGUUUUUAAAAACAAAAUGGUAGGUUUAUAAAUGAGGCUGAGUCUUAUUUGAUUUCCUUGUUUUAGGUCUCAAACAUAGUCCAGCAUCGACGAACCAUCAGUUUGGAAGGGUUACCGAUAUUUGUUCGCGACGACGAGAUCAAACUCUUCCUAACAUGUCUGGAUACAGAUCCAGUUGAGAGGGCAACCCGAGGUGUUACGGUGGGAAUCCUCACUGUUCUGGAGGACUACGUGGGACCCAACUCGCAGUCCACAGUGGUCAACACUGCCAUUGUUUUGGAAGAGGACAUUAUUCUUGAUGACCUGCCAGACCUUCCCACUGCCUUUGCCUACCUGUUUGGCCUACUUUAUGGGCUCAACAUGGAGUUUCCCAAAGAACUCAAGUACACAUUUGAAGCUGUGCAACACAUUUUUAUGUAGUUGACAUCUACCUGUUCCCAGAGGGUAAGAAGCUUCAAAACCAAGCUCUUAACCAAAGUCUAACCUAUUUGACAACAUGUUCAACUCAAAUGCAACUUGUGUGAAACAGAAUGCAGCAAUUUGUUUUGAUUUACAGUUUUUGGGUUUCGUGGUAAGUUGCUCUGAAAAAAGUUAAUUUCUGGCUUUAAGAAAACGGUAAGGUGCAGAAAGUUCUGAAUCAAUCUCUUCUGUUCUAACUUUACUUAAUGUACUGUAGCUUGCAUGGCUGAUUGCAGAUUUCAUGUAUAACAAGUUUUUAUAAAAUGUUGAAAGGGUUUAUUCUAACUUGAACUGUUUUAAACAAUUUUUAUAAUCUGGUUUUAGGUACAUUUGUACUAGUUUUAUAACAAAUGUGGCGCGAUACUGAACUUCAGAGGAAAUUAGUGUUGAUACUAUUACUAUUAAAAGACAAGUGGUGGAAAAAUUUGUUUGAAAGUUGUUUGCUGUAUGGAAACCAGAUAGAAGUUGUUCACAUCUGAUGUUUUGAAUCUGUUUGUUAGUGACUAUCUAUCAAGAUAGGUUUGAUAUUCUGUCUGACAAUACCACACCUUUAAAAUUGGAUGAGUAACAUUUGUUACAAAAAUUUGACUUUUUUUGUGUUUUUGGAAGGACUUUAUUUGUGGCUGAAUGUUGUCAGUAUGUUUAAAAUGGCUGAUCUCAAAAGUCAACAUUGUCAGUGGUGCAGUUGUGUUUGAACACAAUAAAGUUAUUUGAAAAUCAA